rnacentral:rRNA from 1 species
AUUGAACGCUGGCGGCAGGCCUAACACAUGCAAGUCGAGCGGGGUUUUCGGACCUAGCGGCGGACGGGUGAGUAAUGCGUAGGAAGCUACCCGAUAGAGGGGGAUACCAGUUGGAAACGACUGUUAAUACCGCAUAAUGUCUACGGACCAAAGUGUGGGACCUUCGGGCCACAUGCUAUCGGAUGCGCCUACGUGGGAUUAGCUAGUUGGUGAGGUAAUGGCUCACCAAGGCGACGAUCUCUAGCUGGUUUGAGAGGAUGAUCAGCCACACUGGAACUGAGACACGGUCCAGACUCCUACGGGAGGCAGCAGUGGGGAAUAUUGGACAAUGGGCGCAAGCCUGAUCCAGCCAUGCCGCGUGUGUGAAGAAGGCCUUAGGGUUGUAAAGCACUUUCAGCGAGGAGGAAGGGGUUGUAGUUAAUAGCUGCAAUCUUUGACGUUACUCGCAGAAGAAGCACCGGCUAACUCUGUGCCAGCAGCCG